AGAGUUGAUCCUGGCUCAGAACGAACGCUGGCGGCAUGCCUAACACAUGCAAGUCGAACGCUCUUGGGGCUUCGGUUUCAAGGGAGUGGCGCACGGGUGAGUAGCGCGUGGGAACCUGCCCUGUUGUGGGGGAUAACCGAGGGAAACUUCGGCUAAUACCGCAUACGCCGGUUGUCUUGAGAGAGAUGGCCGGGAAAGAUUGAUCGCAGCAGGAGGGGCCCGCGUCGGAUUAGGUAGUUGGUGGGGUAACGGCCUACCAAGCCUGUGAUCCGUAGCUGGUCUGAGAGGAUGAUCAGCCACACUGGGACUGAGACACGGCCCAGACUCCUACGGGAGGCAGCAGUGGGGAAUAUUGGACAAUGGGCGCAAGCCUGAUCCAGCAAUGCCGCGUGAGUGAUGAAGGCCUUCGGGUUGUAAAGCUCUUUCGCACGCGACGAUGAUGACGGUAGCGUGAGAA
rnacentral:rRNA from 1 species